CUCUGUGACUCCUACGAGAGGCAGCAGUGGGGAAUAUUGCACAAUGGGGGAAACCCUGAUGCAGCCAUGCCGCGUGUGUGAAGAAGGCCUUCGGGUUGUAAAGCACUUUCAGUAGGGAGGAAGGUAGUGUAGUUAACACCUGCACUAUUUGACGUUACCUACAGAAGAAGCACCGGCUAACUCCGUGCCAGCAGCCGCGGUAAUACGGAGGGUGCGAGCGUUAAUCGGAAUUACUGGGCGUAAAGCGCAUGCAGGCGGCCUGUUAAGUCAGAUGUGAAAGCCCGGGGCUUAACCUCGGAAUUGCAUUUGAAACUGGCAGGCUAGAGUCUUGUAGAGGGGGUAGAAUUUCAGGUGUAGCGGUGAAAUGCGUAGAGAUCUGAAGGAAUACCAGUGGCGAAGGCGGCCCCCUGGACAAAGACUGACGCUCAGAUGCGAAAGCGUGGGGAGCAAACAGGAUUAGAUACCCUGGUAG
rnacentral:rRNA from 1 species